UUCAAUUGUCUCCAGGCUUUGUGGGGAUUUGAAAGAAGCAAAACUCUGUCCCCUUAUCCAGGGACUUCUGCCUCCACAGGGUAGGGAGCCUGUUUGUGCCUAAUAAUUGGGUGACUAUGAGAAAUAAGCCCACCGACCCAAUCAAAGGACGGUCAUGGAGACUCAAGCACAGUGAAGACAGACUUUAAUCAACGUUCUUGCAACAGCGGGUGUCUGAUGGACAGGCACACUCAGGGCAGUUACAGCAGGCAAUUUAUCGCCUAGCAUGAAGCCCCUCCCCUGAUUCCUCAUUGGCCGAGCACUACAGAGGUAAGUCCCUCCCCUGAUUCCUCAUUGGUUGAGUACUACAGACGUCACAGCCUUACCCAGAAGCCAGUUCUUUGGCGCAUGCUCCUCACAAAGCCCAGGAAGCAAAGCCUGCAAAAAUAAGCCCCGGAAAUGGAGAGGGGAAGAAGAACCAGGAAGUGAAGUGUUCUAAAGGCUUGGGACUCCCCUGUGCAUGUGGGGGUAGGAGGGUUCAUACCUAUUUCCAUGGCUAUAUAACUACUUGUCCAAACCAGGACACUCAGGAGAGUAAAACAGAGACCUGUUGAUUCUGCUGGGACCGCAGACAAAAGCCGGAACCAUCCAAAGCAAACUGGGCUGGAGGGUCACCCAGCAACCUGCCCGAUUCUGGACUUCUCAACCUUGGUGUGAUGACAUUUGGAGCCUUCAUUAUUACUUCUUGGGGUGGG